CAGUCUGGAGCAGGGUCUCAACCCGAAACAUCACCUAUAGAGGAGGUUGUACGGCAGUCGAGGUCAGGAACCGUGACCCGUACUGUUGCCACGCAACGCCUUCUGGAGUACAAGCGGUGAACGUCAG